CCAGCAGCUGCGGUAAUUCCCGCUCCAAUAGCGUAUAUUAAAGUUGUUGCAGUUAAAAAGCUCGUAGUUGAACUUCUGGCUGUGGCUCCAGCAGGCUUCGGUCGCUGGCGUCGCGGUCAUCCGCUUGGGAACUACGUUCGGACUUCACUGUUCGGCGUAAGGAACAGGCGUUUUACUUAGAAAAAAUUAGAGUGUUCAAGGCAGGCUAUCGCCCUGAAUACACAAGCUUGGAAUAAUGAAAUAGGACUUUUUCCAUUUUAUUGGUUAUUGGAGAGAGUAAUGAUUAAUAGGGACAGUUGGGGGCAUUAGUAUUUAAUAGCUAGAGGUGAAAUUCCAGGAUUUAUGAAAGACUGACUUCUGCGAAAGCAUUUGCCAAGGAUGUUUUCAUUGAUCAAGAACGAAAGU
rnacentral:rRNA from 1 species